rnacentral:misc_RNA from 1 species
UCUCCGUUGGUGAACCAGCGGAGGGAUCAUUACCGAGUUUACAACUCCCAAACCCCUGUGAACAUACCUAUUGUUGCCUCGGCGGAUCAGCCCGGCCCCGGUAAAACGGGACGGCCCGCCAGAGGACCCCUAAACUCUGUUUUUAGUGUAACUUCUGAGUAAAACAAACAAAUAAAUCAAAACUUUCAACAACGGAUCUCUUGGUUCUG